GACGUAGGUGGCAAACGUUAUCCGGAAUUAUUGGGCGUAAAGGGUGCGUAGAUGGCCUGAUAAGUUAGCAGUGGGAAAUCGAGGCUCAACCUCGUGGAAGCUGGUAAUACUGUCAGGCUCGAGUGCAGGAGAGGUUAACGGAACUCCAUGUGGAGCGGUAAAAUGUGUAGAUAUAUGGAAGAACACCAAUAACGGCGAAGGCAGUUAACUAUGCUGUUACUGACAUUGAGGCACGAAAGCGUGGGGAGCAAAACGG
rnacentral:rRNA from 1 species